CCCCACCUCCCCAACCCAAAGAUAAUAAAAAACCAUAUAAUGAUAUUUUUAACAUACAAUGUACGUGUAGAUCUAUUUUGCAAGCAGAAAACUUUGGGGUACAAAUGAUAUUAAACCAGUUUUUUUUUUGAAAAAAGAAAAGAAAAAGGAUAAACCAGUUAUGAAAUUAAAAAGAACUUUUAAAUGUCAACUCAUGUUUUUAAAACAAUCUGUAAAAUUGACACAAGACAAUUGUGCUGCUUGCUUUUACUACCUCCUCUGUCAUUUAUUGUUUUUAAUUGCUAAUAUUGUAGGUAUAAGAGUUUACUCCAUUCUGUGAAUAUUCUGAACAUGUGUUUCUCUUCAAGUGUUCUUAAUAGUGGUCAGUUUAACUUUUAUGUGUUGCAGAUACUGUCAUCCUUUUGAUAUUUGCUCUUUGUUUAAGUUUACAAAAUAUUUUUGCUCAUGAGAACUUUCUUCUGUAAAUGUGAUUUUUCUCCUGAUUUUUCUCCUGCAGAUUUUUAUUUGAGUAUUUCUUGUUAAUUAUGAAUGAUUCUUUUAGUGUGAAUGAUUAAUAAGUAUAUUUGUAACUUAAGUUUUUAUUGUGAGACAAUAUAGGGUUUUUUUAAUAUGAUGGAGAAGAAAUCAGGUUUAAAGCUUUAUUUUACCAUUCCUGUUUAAAUUGAUACAAGUAAAAUUGUUACCAAUACAGUAUAUAUGAUAUGUUAAGUUUUCUAAAUAGUUUCUUCAAAAUAGCUUGUUGUUUUACUUCUUUUUUAAAUUUUGUUGAAUAAUACUAAUGCUUGUUUAUUAACUUCAGAUCCAUUUGACAUUUUUCUAAUUUUCUGAAAAACAUGUACAUUCAGAUUAUAUGAUUUUUAAAGCCAUUUUAAGAAGACCAGGCCUCAGGAUCUGGAAGAAGUCUUGGACUUAAGUCAAAAUCUAUACACUGUCUUAAUGGCUUGUGAUUGAAAACAUUUGAAAAAUGACAUGCUAUUAAAAUGUCUUUACAGAACAUUGAUAGUUACAAAUUUUAAGUGUAAUUUAUGUUUACAUCUCAUAAUUUUAUGAAUGAUUGCAAUUUGGACUUGUCUAAAAAUGCUUCAUGAUACUGAGGCCAGUACAUUGAAUAGUUUAUGUCAACAUUAAUUUUUAACAUCUUUCAGUCUUUGGCUUAAAGUGAAUAGUAACAUCUGUUUGACUCCGUGCUGCACCUUCUUGGUGUAUGCUUCUCCAUGCUGCACCUGCAUAGUGUUUGUUUCUCCAUGUUGCACAGUCGAACCUUCCUGAUGUAUGUUUCUCCAUGAUGCACCUUCAUGACUUAUGUUUCUCCAUGCUGCACCUUCAUAGUGUAUGCUUCUCCAUGCUCCACCUUCACGCUGUAUGUUUAUUCAUGCUCUACAUUCAUUGUGUAUUCUUCUCCAUGCUAUUCUUUCUUGAUCUUUGAUUCUCUAUGUUGCACCUUCAUGAUGUAUGUUUUAUAACUUUAGCUGUUUCUGAUGCAUGAACUAUAGAGUUACAUCACCAAAAGUCAACAGUCUUGUAGCUCUAUCUAUUAGUGAGAGUGGAAUUAUUAGUGAUGUAAUUAUGUUUGUUUCCAUUUUUUGUUGUUUAUUUAUUGACAAUCCUAUAACCUCAAGGAGAUAAUCAGAACUGCUGAUUGCUAUUUUUGUUUUAUUGUAAGAACAUGUAAUUUACCUUGAAGCCGGUUUUCAGUUUUUUACUCAAAUUACUCAAUAGAAUUAUUGCAUUAAAACAGAAAUUUC
rnacentral:sRNA from 1 species